rnacentral:rRNA from 1 species
CUACGGAGGGUGCAAGCGUUAUCGGGAAUCAUUGGGUUUAAAGGGUCCGCAGGCGGAUUAAUAAGUCAGUGGUGAAAUCCUCUCGCUCAACGAGAGAACUGCCAUUGAAACUGUUAGUCUUGAAUUCGGUCGAAGUAGGCGGAAUGUGUCAUGUAGCGGUGAAAUGCAUAGAUAUGACACAGAACACCGAUAGCGAAGGCAGCUUACUAGACCUGGAUUGACGCUCAUGGACGAAAGCGUGGGGAGCGAACAGGAUUAGAAACCCUAGUAGUCC